AAAAAAAAAAAAAACCCAAAAAAAAAAAUCAAAGAGAGGCGAAGGGGGGGAAAGAAAUUUCCUUUUUCGCAGAAAUUUGAAUAUAUCCUUCACCCUCCCCGAUUUGAGUCGUAAUAAUGGAGGGGGUAGGGGCGAGACUUGGGCGGUCCUCCACUCGAUACGGACCGGCCACGGUGUUCAAUGGACCGGUGAGGAAGUGGAAGAAGAGAUGGGUCCACGUUUCCCCAUCUAACAACAACAACAACAA
rnacentral:misc_RNA from 1 species